rnacentral:rRNA from 1 species
GAUGAACGCUGGCGGCGUGCCUAAUACAUGCAAGUCGAGCGAACAGACGAGGAGCUUGCUCCUUCGACGUUAGCGGCGGACGGGUGAGUAACACGUAGGUAACCUACCUAUAAGACUGGGAUAACUUCGGGAAACCGGAGCUAAUACCGGAUAAUAUUUCGAACCGCAUGGUUCGAUAGUGAAAGAUGGCUUUGCUAUCACUUAUAGAUGGACCUGCGCCGUAUUAGCUAGUUGGUAAGGUAACGGCUUACCAAGGCAACGAUACGUAGCCGACCUGAGAGGGUGAUCGGCCACACUGGAACUGAGACACGGUCCAAACUCCUACGGGAGGCAGCAGUAGGGAAUCUUCCGCAAUGGGCGAAAGCCUGACGGAGCAACGCCGCGUGAGUGAUGAAGGUCUUCGGAUCGUAAAACUCUGUUAUUAGGGAAGAACAAACGUGUAAGUAACUGUGCACGUCUUGACGGUACCUAAUCAGAAAGCCACGGCUAACUACGUG